rnacentral:rRNA from 1 species
UACGUAGGGGGCUAGCGUUAUUCGGAAUCACUGGGCUUAAAGCGUGCGUAGGCGGCUGAGAAAGUUGGGUGUGAAAUCCCUCGGCUCAACCGAGGAAUUGCGCUCAAAACUACUUGGCUUGAGGGAGUUAGAGGUGAGCGGAACUAAUGGUGGAGCGGUGAAAUGCGUUGAUAUCAUUAGGAACACCGGUGGCGAAAGCGGCUCACUGGGACUCUUCUGACGCUGAGGCACGAAAGCUAGGGGAGCGAACGGG